GCUGGGUGUGGUGGCGUGCACCUGUAACCCCGGCUACUCGGGAGGCUGAGGCAGGAGAAUUGCUCGAACCUGGGAGGCGGAGGUUGCAGUGCGCCAAGAUCACGCCACUGCACUCCAGCCCGGGCAACAGAGUGAGACUCUGUCUCUA
rnacentral:SRP_RNA from 1 species